CUCUCCCCCGACUUGUACUCCACCACCGAUCCCGUCGCCGUCGAGUUCUCCGACCUGUUCGUUCAUUUCAUCAAUUUUAUACUCGCACCGUCUCAAAAUGUAAGCAUUUUUAGACUCUUAUACACGGUCUGCGAGAUGCUACUUUAACCAACAAUAUCUAUAUAAGUAAGAUGUUUUAAAUAAAAAGAGUUACAUAUCAUGAUAGUUUGUUUAAUGAUAAAUCUAGUAACAUCAAUUUUACAUGAUUGAUCUUUUUUUACUAUUAAUGGUUAAAGUUUAAAAUAUUUGAUUUGUCACUAUGCUAAAAAUAUUUAUAUUUUAGGACGGAGGGAGUACACGCAGGAAUUCAGAGAUUAAUUAGUUUGUAACGUGACCUUAAUAUGAGCUCGUCCCAGCAGUCGAAGCCUUCCUUGAUGAGAUUGGUGGCGGUGGCGUUCCUCAGCUCCGGCGUGUCCGGCCUGUCCGACAGGAAGACGAUCUUGACGCCG
rnacentral:lncRNA from 1 species